rnacentral:lncRNA from 1 species
UGUUGUAGGCCAAGUCCCUAAAAUGCAGGAGUGCUGGCACUAGCUAUGGAGAUGUGUCAGUGACAUGGAUGACAUUAUGCCACAGUGCUACUCAAAGAUGAAAAAAUGCAGAGAAUGAGCUGAGAUGCAUAGCAGUACUACACCCCAACUUCCACCUAUUUGCUGCAAUGAAGAUGUUUUACAAGUGCUUUAUGACUAUAAUUAUAAACACCAUCCUAAUAGGCUAGAUUGCUUCAUGCUGCUGCUACCAACAAACACUGGUGUCUGAACAGAGCAGCUAUUUUAACAGCAAACAGCAUGCAGACUGGCAGUCUGAAACAGGACGUCACCUGUGUCCUGUUGAAACUGCUAUUUGGCAGCCAGGAGGUGGAUUCCUGUGUAAUAGUUUUGACAGUGCAGUGGAAAUGACACAAAUAUUUAGAGCCAUUGGUAGCUUUGAGACUUAGACAGUGGGUGCUGGUUUCUUGCAGAUAAAUGUCUUGUUGCUGGAAAGACAUUUAGAAACAAAUGCUGAAGUCGAUCUGUGUGCACUCAGAGGACUCCUGUUGUGCACAUCUCACCAAGAAACAGAAAGCUCUGGCAAAGUAUCAACAAAAAGACAGUGUGAUGAUGUACUGUACUUUGGAAAAUCAGAAUCUAGAUGUUGGAAGACAGUGUUUUAGACUCAGUCACUUAAUUGCUAUUUUACUCAGAAUUGAUGGGUGUGGAGUAAUCACAAGCUGUCUUGGAAGAUUCCCAUUGCUCCAUCACUUAAAUCAAUAUGACAGAUAGGAUGCCAACAAUUUAUGGUUUAGAUCUUCUUUUUUUCCCUUCACCUCCCUAAUUGGUUUGAUGUGGAGCAAUUAUCCACAUAAUGCAAUUAAAGGUAAGAUUUUUCAUACGAUAUGUACCGCAACAGUAAUUACAUGAGCCAUAGCACAAAGAGGGACUUGAAUACAACUUUUGUCUUUAGGUCUCACAUAAUACAUGCCUUCAG